CUCGGGGGGGCUCUGCAGUUUCUCCGUCCUCGCCCAGCCCGGAAAAAAACUGGACGGCCGAGAAGGAAAAGAGGAAACGUCUUCUGUAGGGCCCUUCGCACUGCUGCAGCGGGUCUGGUGGGAAAUCUUAAUGAUGGAAAGACGUUGGUGAAGGAAGCCCAGGAAAGGCUAACUAGGAUUCUCUACUUCCACCUCCAGGAAAAUAGAUACAUAUUUAAGAGAAAAAGACACUGGCUUGAAGUAACUUAGCUGUUACCAUAGAGAACAAGAAAAUAACAAAUUUCACAUCAUGUGAAAGGAAAGUCAAGCGUGAUAAUUAUUCAGAAUAAACCACUCAAAAGGCUCUUCAGUAGAAUAAAGAAGAAUCGUUGUCCCAAAGGAAGCUACUGUUUUGACAUUUCACUGGGAAGAGAUCCAAAAAUUGAGACUAGGAGUAUAGCCCUUGCUUUUCUUCUGGAAGACUUCAUGUGAUAAUUCAGAGAAGCUGAUGUUUGUAAUUCUAGUUACCUUCAGAUGAUAAUCAAAUCAAACAAAUCAAACAAAACCAAUGGAUGCAUGUAUAGAGGAGACUGACACUGCAAUAAUUUCUAUCUUUUUAAUAAAUGACUUGAUACAUUUUCUUUUUA